UACGUAGGGCGCAAGCGUUGUCCGGAAUUAUUGGGCGUAAAGAGCUCGUAGGCGGUGUGUCGCGUCGGCCGUGAAAACCUGCAGCUUAACUGUGGGCUUGCGGUCGAUACGGGCAUCACUGGAGUUCGGCAGGGGAGACUGGAAUUCCUGGUGUAGCGGCGAAAUGCGCAGAUAUCAGGAGGAACACCGGUGGCGAAGGCGGGUCUCUGGGCCGAUACUGACGCUGAGGAGCGAAAGCGUGGGGAGCGAACAGG
rnacentral:rRNA from 1 species